rnacentral:lncRNA from 1 species
AAAGAAGCCCAUAAUUUGUGAACACUUUUUAAAACAAAAAUGAGUAUUUAAAAGAAACCUCUAAAAAUAUAAUACACUAGAUGAGAAAUAAUUACGACUAAAAGAACAAAAAGAUACUUCUAUGCAAAGUACUACAUGCUAUAAAAACUGAAGAGAUAAAGUUAGAUACUAAAAAGAAACGGAAGGAAAAAAAAACAAAAGGGUUAUAGUCUCGACGGAAAAGUUUCGCAGACAACAAAACGUUUUACGAUUGAUCGUUCGAGUUACUUGAAAAUAGUAAAAUAUAAAGAUUACAUAUCUUCCUUUAUAUAGAUAGAUAUGAUUCUUGGCUUAAAAAAUCCUAGAUUAAAAAAAACAGAAAAAAAGGUAUGAGAGAGAAUGGAGGAAAACUAUUAAAGAACAAUGAUUUUCCACGACAAAGUAUAAUAAAGUAAAUUUCAAAUUUAAGUUUUCCUAUUCGCUUAAAGGGAGCGUAAAGUUACACCUAAUAAUUAAACAAA